CCUACGGGAGGCAGCAGUGGGGAAUAUUGGGCAAUGGACGCAAGUCUGACCCAGCAACGCCGCGUGAAGGAAGAAGGCUUUCGGGUUGUAAACCUCUUUUAAGGGGGAAGAGCAGAAGACGGUACCCCUUGAAUAAGCCACGGCUAACUACGUGCCAGCAGCCGCGGUAAUACGUAGGUGGCAAGCGUUGUCCGGAUUUACUGGGUGUAAAGGGCGUGCAGCCGGAGAGACAAGUCAGAUGUGAAAUCCACGGGCUCAACCCGUGAACUGCAUUUGAAACUGUUUGACUUGAGUGUCGGAGAGGUAAUCGGAAUGCCUUGUGUAGCGGUGAAAUGCGUAGAUAUAAGGAAGAACACCAGUGGCGAAGGCAGAUUACUGGGCGAUAACUGACGGUGAGGCGCGAAAGCGUGGGGAGCAAACAGGAUUAGAUACCCUUGUAGUC
rnacentral:rRNA from 1 species